AAGACAAAUCAUAAUGACCUUUAUAAUAUGGGCUAUAAACGUACUAUAAAAAAAUAAUAAUAAAAUUAUAAAAUUAUAUAUAUAUAUAUAAUAUAUAAAAAUUAAUAAUAAAAAAUAUUUUAAACUUUAAUAUAAUUAUAUAUUAUAAAUAAUAUGAAUUAUAAUAUGAAACUCUAUUAUAUGAAAAAAGAAUUACUAGUAAUACGUUAUAAAUAAAAUAACGGUG
rnacentral:rRNA from 1 species